UACGUAGGGUGCGAGCGUUGUCCGGAAUUAUUGGGCGUAAAGAGCUUGUAGGUGGUUUGCCGCGUCUGCUGUGAAAAUCCGAGGCUCAACCUCGGACUUGCAGUGGGUACGGGCAGACUAGAGUGUGGUAGGGGAGACUGGAAUUCCGUGGUGUAGCGGUGGAAUGCGCAGAUAUCAGGAGGAACACCGAGUGGCGAAGGCAGGUCUCU
rnacentral:rRNA from 1 species